UACAUAUAAACCUGUGAGGAUGAUACAGACCUACUGCCACUGGCCCAAUUGAAAUGCCAUAAGCCUACUUUGUCGUAUCAGUUUACAAAUUGCGAAAAACCAAAUUAAAUUUGAAUUUCGCGUGCAGACCCGUCUCAUACACCUUAUGGAGACUAAGAAUAAUUUUAAGUUUUAGGUA